rnacentral:rRNA from 1 species
CCUACGGGCGGCUGCAGUGGGGAAUAUUGGACAAUGGGCGAAAGCCUGAUCCAGCCAUGCCGCGUGUGUGAAGAAGGCCUUCGGGUUGUAAAGCACUUUCAGUGGGGAAGAAAGCCUUGGGGCUAAUACCCUCGAGGAAGGACAUCACCCACAGAAGAAGCACCGGCUAACUCCGUGCCAGCAGCCGCGGUAAUACGGAGGGUGCGAGCGUUAAUCGGAAUUACUGGGCGUAAAGCGCGCGUAGGCGGUCUGAUAAGCCGGUUGUGAAAGCCCCGGGCUCAACCUGGGAACGGCAUCCGGAACUGUCAGGCUAGAGUGUAGGAGAGGAAGGUAGAAUUCCCGGUGUAGCGGUGAAAUGCGUAGAGAUCGGGAGGAAUACCAGUGGCGAAGGCGGCCUUCUGGACUGACACUGACGCUGAGGUGCGAAAGCGUGGGUAGCAAACAGGAUUAGAUACCCCGGUAGUC